CGAGGGGCAGCUCAGUGGUAGAGCGUGUGCUUAGCAUGCAUGAAGUCCUGGGUUCAAUCCUCAGUACCUCCA
rnacentral:tRNA from 1 species